AUUGAACGCUGGCGGCAGGCCUAACACAUGCAAGUCGAACGGUAGCACAGAGAGCUUGCUCUCGGGUGACGAGUGGCGGACGGGUGAGUAAUGUCUGGGAAACUGCCCGAUGGAGGGGGAUAACUACUGGAAACGGUAGCUAAUACCGCGUAACGUCGCCAGACCAAAGUGGGGGACCUUCGGGCCUCACACCAUCGGAUGUGCCCAGAUGGGAGUAGCUAGUAGGUUGGGUAAUGGCUUACCUAGGCGACGAUCCCUAGGUGGUCUGAGAGGAUGACCAGCCACACUGAAACUGAGACACGGUCCAGACUCCUACGGGAGGCAGCAGUGGGGAAUAUUGCACAAUGGGCGCAAGCCUGAUGCAGCCAUGCCGCGUGUAUGAAGAAGGCCUUCGGGUUGUAAAGUACUUUCAGCGGGGAGGAAGGCGGUGAAGUUAAUAGCUUCACCGAUUGACGUUACCCGCAGAAGAAGCACCGGCUAACUCCGUGCCAGCCGCCGCGACAC
rnacentral:rRNA from 1 species